rnacentral:rRNA from 1 species
CCUACGGGAGGCAGCAGUGGGGAAUAUUGCGCAAUGGACGAAAGCCUGACGCAGCGACGCCGCGUGAGGGAUGAAGGUCUUCGGAUCGUAAACCUCUGUCAGCAGGGAAGAACGGUCACUGUACUAAUCAGCAGUGAAUUUACGGUACCUGCAAAGGAAGCACCGGCUAACUCCGUGACCGCAGCCGCGGUAAUACGGAGGGUUCGAGCGUUAAUCGGAAUUACUGGGCGUAAAGCGAGCGUAGGCGGUAUGUCAAGUGAAGGGUGAAAUCCCCGCGCUCAACGUGGGAACUGCCUUUGAGACUGGCAAACUGGAGUGUAGGAGAGGAUAGUGGAAUUCCAGGUGUAGGAGUGAAAUCCGUAGAUAUC